GCUGGGCACAGUGGCACGUACCUGUGGUCCCAGCUACUCAGGAAGCUGAGGCUGGAUAAUUGCCAGAGUCCAGGACUUCAAGGCUGUAGCACGCUAUGCCAAUCAGGUCUCCGCACUAAGUUCAGAAUCAACAUGAUGACUUCCCGGGAACAGGGGACCACCAGGUUGCCUAACGAGGGGUGAACCAGCCCAGAUCAGAUACAGAGCAGGUCAAAACUCCCAUGCUGAUCAGUAGUGGGAUCGCAGCUGUGAACAGCCACUGCACUCCAGCCUGGGCAACAUAGUGAGACCCCAUCUCUA
ensembl:misc_RNA Metazoa_SRP Metazoan signal recognition particle RNA